rnacentral:rRNA from 1 species
UACGUAGGGUGCGAGCGUUGUCCGGAAUUAUUGGGCGUAAAGGGCUCGUAGGCGGUUUGUCGCGUCGGGAGUGAAAUCCACUGGCUUAACUGGUGGCUUGCUUUCGAUACGGGCAGACUGGAGGUAUGCAGGGGAGAACGGAAUUCCUGGUGUAGCGGUGAAAUGCGCAGAUAUCAGGAAGAACACCCGUGGCGAAGGCGGUUCUCUGGGACGGUACUGACGCUGAGACGCGAAAGCGUGGGGAGCGAACAGG